UCCAUGGGGAUUGCGAUCUCCCCAUGAGGCGACAGCCGAAGCAUCGCGUCCCGAAAUUUUCCGAGGGCGCAUUAUG
rnacentral:ncRNA from 1 species